AGUUCUGCAUAGUUGCACUAC
rnacentral:miRNA from 1 species